rfam:Cavia porcellus supercont2_3 genomic scaffold, whole genome shotgun sequence.
GGGGAUAUAGCUUAGUGGCAUAGCGCCUGCCUGACAAGCAUGAGGUCCUGAGUUUGAUUCCCAGUACCA